CAGCACUGAGGCCCCAGCCUUGCGUUGGCGGACGGCUCCUCCGCGAGGAGCCGCCGCCCAAACCCCGACGGCGCCGCCCCGCGGCCGACGAAGCGCGAAAAUGCCGAGUCGAGCGCGAGAGGCGGCGGCCUUGUGAACGAACCACAG
rnacentral:misc_RNA from 1 species